CCUACGGGGGGCAGCAGUGGGGAAUAUUGCACAAUGGAGGGAACUCUGAUGCAGCGACGCCGCGUGCGUGAAGAAGUAAUUCGUGUUGUAAAGCUCUAUCAGCAGGGAAGAAAGUGACGGUACCUGAAAAAGAAGCUCCGGCUAAAUACGUGCCAGCAGCCGCGGUAAUACGUAUGGAGCAAGCGUUAUCCGGAUUUACUGGGUGUAAAGGGUGAGAAGGUGGAAGAGCAAGUGCGAAGUGAAAACCCAAAGCCAAACAAUGGGAAUGCUUUAGAAACUGCUAAGCUAGAGUGCAGGAGAGGCAAGUGGAAUUCUUAGUGUAGCGGUGAAAUGCGUAGAUAUUAGGAGGAACACCAGUGGCGAAGGCGGCUUGCUGGACUGUAACUGACACUGAGGCUCGAAAGCGUAGGGAGCAAACAGGAUUAGAUACCCUGGUAGUC
rnacentral:rRNA from 1 species